rnacentral:rRNA from 1 species
CUAACACAUGCAGUCGAACGAAGCACCUUUUAAGAUUCUUCGGAUGAUUGAUUGGUGACUGAGUGGCGGACGGGUGAGUAACGCGUGGGUAACCUGCCCUGUACAGGGGGAUAACAGUUGGAAACGGCUGCUAAUACCGCAUAAGCGCACGAGAGGACAUCCUUUCGUGUGAAAAACUCCGGUGGUACAGGAUGGGCCCGCGUCUGAUUAGCUGGUUGGCAGGGUAACGGCCUACCAAGGCGACGAUCAGUAGCCGGUCUGAGAGGAUGAACGGCCACAUUGGAACUGAGACACGGUCCAAACUCCUACGGGAGGCAGCAGUGGGGAAUAUUGCACAAUGGGGGAAACCCUGAUGCAGCAACGCCGCGUGAGUGAAGAAGUAUUUCGGUAUGUAAAGCUCUAUCAGCAGGGAAGAUAAUGACGGUACCUGACUAAGAAGCUCCGGCUAAAUACGUGCCAGCAGCCGCGGUAAUACGUAUGGAGCAAGCGUUAUCCGGAUUUACUGGGUGUAAAGGGUGCGUAGGUGGCAGUGCAAGUCAGAUGUGAAAGGCCGGGGCUCAACCCCGGAGCUGCAUUUGAAACUGCAUAGCUAGAGUACAGGAGAGGCAGGCGGAAUUCCUAGUGUAGCGGUGAAAUGCGUAGAUAUUAGGAGGAACACCAGUGGCGAAGGCGGCCUGCUGGACUGUUACUGACACUGAGGCACGAA